AUUGAACGCUGGCGGCAUGCCUUACACAUGCAAGUCGAACGGCAGCACGGGGCAACCUGGUGGCGAGUGGCGAACGGGUGAGUAAUGUAUCGGAACGUACCAUUGAGUGGGGGAUAACGUAGCGAAAGUUACGCUAAUGCCGCAUAUACCCUGAGGGGGAAAGCAGGGGAGCGCAAGACCUUGUGCACUUUGAGUGGCCGAUAUCAGAUUAGCUAGUUGGUGAGGUAGAGCAGCACCAAGGCGACGAUCUGUAGCGGGUCUGAGAGGAUGAUCCGCCACACUGGGACUGAGACACGGCCCAGACUCCUACGGGAGGCAGCAGUGGGGAAUUUUGGACAAUGGGCGCAAGCCUGAUCCAGCCAUGCCGCGUGAGUGAAGAAGGCCUUCGGGUUGUAAAGCUCUUUCGGCCGGGAAGAAAUCGUACAGGUUAAUACCCUGUGUGGAUGACGGUACCGGAAUAAGAAGCACCGGCUAACUACGUGCCAGCAGCCGCAGUAAAAC
rnacentral:rRNA from 1 species